UACGGGGGGAGCAAGCGUUGUUCGGAUUUACUGGGCGUAAAGGGCGCGUAGGCGGCCAGCACAAGUCAGUUGUGAAAUCUCCGGGCUUAACUCGGAAAAGUCAACUGAUACUGUGCGGCUAGAGUGCAGAAGGGGCAACUGGAAUUCUCGGUGUAGCGGUGAAAUGCGUAGAUAUCGAGAGGAACACCUGCGGCGAAGGCGGGUUGCUGGGCUGACACUGACGCUGAUGCGCGAAAGCCAGGGGAGCGAACGGG
rnacentral:rRNA from 1 species